GUCGAGCAGGCUGGUGACCAAUCCCGCCUGCGUCCUCUGGGCUCUUCGAGCAGCAAUUGGGUACUGACUCAGGAUAAAGGCGUGGCUCUUGAUUGGCUUUGACUCAUGCCUAUGAGACUGUGAGGAUCUCGUUUCCCUAGUAACGGAUUGGCACUGAGAGAGACCAAUGACUUAAAGGCGGCCGCCUAAGGGCACUUGCAGGCUCUCACCAUUAGUCAGCACUAUUGUCGGACAACAGUUUAAGAGAAAGCGAGAGGGGAAAGUAGCGCCCGUCGUGUACCUAAGAUCGUGUAAAAAGGCCGCACGUGAAAAGUGCUGUUGAGUUUGAGAACACAAAUUUCUACCCUGCUGUUCGUGGCAAGUGCUGCAGCGGGCUGGCCGGAUGCCCGGUUAGUGGGAGCUCGCUGAGGUCUUCCCCUUCUGUUGCUGCCAAGGAACCAAGUCUGUAAAGUC